CUUUGGAAUUUCUCAAUUGUGGGAUCAAUAAAGGUGUAUCUUCUCUUCUCUUAUUACUAAUAAAACAAAUUCCAUUAAACAUUUUUUAACAUUGUUUUCACCUAUAACUUUUACAGGUGUUCCUGUGGCAAUUGCAGAACAAUGCCUACAGAGGAAGAAAAUAUGCACUGCCUUGAAACACCAAAGAGCCGACUACGGACCCAUACGUCUGAGAGGAAUAGAGCACCGUUACAGAUAUUUGGCAUACAGGAGCUUUGUCAGCUGGUGUUGGGGAUUUUUGGGCUGCAGAGUCCGAGUGGUACUGCCUGCCUGUGUGGUGCUGAGAA